UACGUAGGGGGCAAGCGUUGUCCGGAUUUAUUGGGCGUAAAGAGCGUGUAGGCGGCCAGAUAGGUCCGUUGUGAAAACUGGAGGCUUAACCUCCAGCUGUCGAUGGAAACCAUCUGGCUAGAGUCCGGAAGAGGAGAGUGGAAUUCCUGGUGUAGCGGUGAAAUGCGCAGAUAUCAGGAAGAACACCAAUGGCGAAGGCAGCUCUCUGGGACGGUACUGGACGCUGAGACGCGAAAGCGUGGGGAGCGAACAGG
rnacentral:rRNA from 1 species